AUUAACGAGUUAGGGUCUCACCGGCCCGAUCUCCCAACCCUUUGUCUACUUGACCAUCGUUGCUUCGGCGAGCCCGUCCCUCGGGACCGCCGGAGGGCUCUUCACCGACCCUCUGGCCCGCGCUCGUCGACAGCCCCCAAUUUAAAACCUUAACUAAACGUGUCUUGAAUCUAAGUAUUAUUGUUAAAUAAAAACAAAACUUUCAACAACGGAUCUCUUGGUUCUGGCAUCGAUGAAGAACGCAGCGAAAUGCGAUAAGUAAUGCGAAUUGCAGAAUUCCAGUGAGUCAUCGAAUCUUUGAACGCACAUUGCGCCCUUUGGUAUUCCGAAGGGCAUGCCUGUUCGAGCGUCAUUAUCACCCCUCAAGCCCCUGGCUUGGUGUUGGACGGCUUGGUGGAGGCCCCUCGCGGGCGUCUACCCCUCCCAAAGACAAUGACGGCGGCCUCGUUGGACCCCCGGUACACUGAGUUCUUCACGGGACACGUAUCGGACACACGGGUUUGCGGGACACGGUCUACCUCCCCUCAGGGAGAAUCUUUCUAAGGUUGACC
rnacentral:misc_RNA from 1 species